rnacentral:rRNA from 1 species
AUGGAAUGUUCUUUGCCGUUUGGAGGAAAUGUUGUUGUCUUUGGUGGUGAUUUCAGGCAGGUCCUACUUGUUGUGACACAUGGUACAAGAGCACAUGAUGAUCCUUGGUUCUCAGAAUACCUAGUAAGGAUAGGCAAUGGAACUGAAGAGACAAUUGGCGCCGAUUAUGUCCGUCUCCCUAACGACAUUGUCAUUGGAUAUACCGAGGAUGAAAAAGCUAUUAACAUGCUCAUCGAAGAUGUCUUCCCAUCUUUGCAGGCCAAUGCUAGAUCGAGAGAGUACAUGAGUGCAUGUGCUAUUCUUUCGACCAAGAACGAUCAUGUCGAUGACCUGAAUGACAAGAUGAUCUCCAGGUUUCCAGGCGAAGAAAAAUUAAAGGUCAACUGUCCGGUCAUUCUACUCUGGAACCUCGACCCUCAUAAUGGUCUAUGCAAUGGAACACGGCUUAUGAUCAGAGCCUUUCAGGAUAAUGCAAUCGAUGCGGAGAUUGUUGGUGGUCAGCAUGCUGGAAAGAGGGUGUUUAUACCUAGGAUCCCUAUGUCGCCCUCAGAGGACAUCUCACUUCCUUUCAAACUUAAGAGAAAACAGUUCCCCAUCCGGCUGAGUUUUGCCAUGACAAUUAACAAGGCACAGGGUCAGACCAUCCCAAAUGUCGGCAUUUACCUUCCCGAGCCAGUAUUCUCACAUGGGCAGCUAUAUGUUGGAUUGUCAAGAGGAGUGUCGAGAGAGACGACACGGAUUUUGGCCAAGCCAAACAAGGAUGUUGAUAAAUCCGAGAAAAGCACCAAGAACAUUGUCUACAGAGAUGUUUUGGAGAUAUGA